ACGUAGGGUGCGAGCGUUAAUCGGCCCUACUGGGCGUACCUCUUGCGGCUUCUUUUCUCUCCUCCCUUUUUUCCCUCCCCGGUCUUCCCCUGGGAAUGGCGCUUGUGACUGGCGGGCUGGAGUACGGCAGAGGGGGGUGGAAUUCCACGUGUAGCAGUGAAAUGCGUAGAGAUGUGGAGGAACACCGAUGGCGAAGGCAGCCCCCUGGGCCGAUACUGACGCUCAUGCACGAAAGCGUGGGGAGCAAACAG
rnacentral:rRNA from 1 species